GACGAACGCUGGCGGCGUGCCUAAUACAUGCAAGUAGAACGCUGAAGAGAGGAGCUUGCUCUUCUUGGAUGAGUUGCGAACGGGUGAGUAACGCGUAGGUAACCUGCCUUGUAACGGGGGAUAACUAUUGGAAACGAUAGCUAAUACCGCAUAACAAUGGAUGACACAUGUCAUUUAUUUGAAAGGGGCAAUUGCUCCACUACAAGAUGGACCUGCGUUGUAUUAGCUAGUAGGUGAGGUAAUGGCUCACCUAGGCGACGAUACAUAGCCGACCUGAGAGGGUGAUCGGCCACACUGGGACUGAGACACGGCCCAGACUCCUACGGGAGGCAGCAGUAGGGAAUCUUCGGCAAUGGGGGCAACCCUGACCGAGCAACGCCGCGUGAGUGAAGAAGGUUUUCGGAUCGUAAAGCUCUGUUGUAAGUCAAGAACGGGUGUGAGAGUGGAAAGUUCACACUGUGACGGUAGCUUACCAGAAAGGGACGGCUAACUACGUG
rnacentral:rRNA from 1 species